UGUUCUGGUACCAGGAUGUUUGAAUGUUCUAGAACACAGCUUCAGUUCUUUUAGACAAACUUCAACUAAUCCAGGCACGUUUUAGUCGUUUAAAGUGAUGUUUGAGUGACUGAUGGUGGUUCUCCAGCUGUUCUCUCUGUUGGUUCUUUCAGUCUGUAGGUUCUGGUUCUGGUGGUUCCUUCAGCCUGUAGGUUCUGGUUCUACUGUUUUUUUCAGCCUGUAGGUUCUGGUUCUACUGGUUCCUUCAGUCUGUAGGUUCUGGUUCUACUGGUUCCUUUAAUCUGUAGGUUCUGGUUCUACUGGUUCCUUCAGUCUGUAGGUUCUGGUUCUGUUAGUUUCUUCAGUCUGUAGGUUCUGGUUCUGGUGGUUCUUUCAGUCUGUAGGUUCUGGUUCUACUGGUUCCUUCAGUCUGUAGGUUCUGGUUCUACUGGUUCCUUCAGUCUGUAGGUUCUGGUUCUGUUAGUUUCUUCAGUCUGUAGGUUCUGGUUCUACUGGUUCCUUUAAUCUGUAGGUUCUGGUUCUACUGGUUCCUUCAGUCUGUAGGUUCUGGUUCUGGUGGUUCUUUCAGUCUGUAGGUUCUGGUUCUACUGGUUCCUUUAAUCUGUAGGUUCUGGUUCUACUGGUUCCUUCAGUCUGUAGGUUCUGGUUCUACUGGUUCCUUUAAUCUGUAGGUUCUGGUUCUACUGGUUCCUUUAAUCUGUAGGUUCUGGUUCUACUGGUUCCUUCAGUCUGUAGGUUCUGGUUCUACUGGUUCCUUUAAUCUGUAGGUUCUGGUUCUACUGGUUCC